rnacentral:rRNA from 1 species
GAUGAACGCUAGCGGCAGGCUUAACACAUGCAAGUCGAACGGCAGCACGGGAGCAAUCCUGGUGGCGAGUGGCGAACGGGUGAGUAAUAUAUCGGAACGUGCCCAGUCGUGGGGAUAACGUAGCGAAAGUUACGCUAAUACCGCAUACGAUCUAAGGAUGAAAGCGGGGGAUCGCAAGACCUCGCGCGAUUGGAGCGGCCGAUAUCAGAUUAGGUAGUUGGUGAGGUAAAGGCUCACCAAGCCAACGAUCUGUAGCUGGUCUGAGAGGACGACCAGCCACACUGGAACUGAGACACGGUCCAGACUCCUACGGGAGGCAGCAGUGGGGAAUAUUGGACAAUGGGCGAAAGCCUGAUCCAGCAAUGCCGCGUGAGUGAUGAAGGCCUUAGGGUUGUAAAAGCUCUUUUUACCCGAGAUGAUAAUGACAGUAUCGGGAGAAUAAGCUCCGGCUAAACUCCGUGCCAGCAG